AUUUAAAAGAAGCCGACUCAUGUGACGCGCUCCGCACAGCUUGGUGGAGAGACUGAGGAGACGCUAUGGCGCUCAGUGUUGUUUGGUUCAUCACUACUGCUUUUAGUUUAGCUCAUUUAACACCGGUAAUUUUACCUGAAGAGGAAUAUCACUUCAAACAGUGGAUGUCACAGCACAACAAAGUUUAUGGCACGGAGGAGUUUUACCACCGGCUCCGUAUGUUCACUGAGAAUAAGAGGGAAAUUGAUCAUCACAAUGCUGGGAAUCACUCAUUCACAAUGGGUCUGAAUCAGUUCUCAGACAUGACAUUUGAAGAAUUCAGGAAAUUAUUUCUUUUGACAGAGCCUCAGAACUGCUCAGCUACUGUAGGGGAUCAUGUCAGCAGAGCCGGUCCUUAUCCCAAGUUUGUAGACUGGAGGCUGAAGGGCAACGUUGUGACUCCAGUGAAGAAUCAGGGUCACUGUGGAAGCUGCUGGACCUUCUCUACCACCGGCUGCUUGGAGUCAGUGACUGCUAUCGCUACCGGGAAGCUAAUACCUCUGUCCGAGCAGCAGCUGAUAGACUGUGCCCAGGACUUUAACAAUCAUGGAUGCAUGGGUGGCCUCCCCAGCCAGGCAUUUGAGUACAUCAAAUACAACAAUGGUAUCAUGACAGAAGAAGACUAUCCCUACAAAGGCCAUGAUGGCACUUGCCAUUUUGAGCCUGAGCUUGCAGCUGCUUUUGUCCUGGACGUUGUCAACAUAACAAGUUACGAUGAAAAGGCCAUGGUUGAUGCUGUGGCCCGGCUCAAUCCUGUGUCCUUUGGCUUUGAGGUUACGUCCGACUUCAUGCACUACACAGAAGGUGUUUACACUAGUGUUGUCUGUGUAGCACCCAGUGUAAGAACACAGCAGACAUGGUGAAUCAUGCAGUCCUGGCUGUGGGUUACGGCACUGAAGAGAACGGCAUGCCAUAUUGGAUAGUGAAGAACUCUUGGGGCACAAGCUGGGGAGUGGACGGAUAUUUUUUAAUCGAGCGAGGAAAGAACAUGUGCGGGCUGGCUGCGUGUGCCUCCUACCCUCUACCUUUAGUCUGAGGAGUAACAUGGCAACCAGGUGGAGGACUGAUUAAACUCAGGAACAUGUCACCCAGAGACAUGGGGUGAACAUAAUGGGACCUUUGAUUUCUCAACAACAUGAGCAGUAUCAUCUAAAAACUGUUGAAACAAUUAAAUCUCUGUGUGUCUCACUCUCACCAUUACUGGUGAGUGGUGCAUUUCUUCUUUUGAAGUAACUGUGGGUGUUUGUUCUGUUUCAUAAUGUGGAUGUUGUGGAGCUCGUUUAAUUAUACUAAGUAUGUAUAGAUGAUUGUAUCAUGCAGUACUUGUUUAAGGAAACAGGGAUAGAGGCCUCCUCUCCAAGUGCCAACACUGUUGAUAUACUGAGGUUUGUGACAUGCUUGGUGUUACACUGAACAAGGCAUCCCUGUAGAUCACUGAGAUUACAUUAUGGCAGAUUGUCCAUGGGUCACUGACUUAAUUUUUCAAUGCGUGGCCUCUUUAUGGCUCCAUGAAGACAAAAUCAAAUGUGUAAAAAUAUCUGAAUGCCUUCAAAGACAAGAACAUGCUGCUCAUUUGCUCCGGUUAACAAGCUUUAGAGAUGGUCAUGCACAAAGGGCCCAUUCAGGAGCCCAGGUGUCAAGCUAAUAAACAGUUGUUUUGCUAAUAAACAGU